rnacentral:lncRNA from 1 species
UAACAUUUCACAUCAAGUAUUCAUAUAUACAUAAUUGGACCUUGACCAUCAGCGGAGUGACUCUGGGCACGGUUGCUAACAUCUAAUGUCAGAGUAAACCUACCGAGCAAUGGAUAGGGAGGAACACCUCGUCCUAGGAUCCAAUCACCUUUGACUUAAAAAAACCUAAAACAUGAAGUUUAAAAAUGUGAAUACAAACUCAGUGAGUGAACAUAGGAAGGGAACAAGCAGCGUUAAGGAAGGUUUAGAAAUCAUGAUGCACUUGUUUUGAAAAUAAUGUAAUUUAGUUUAAUUUUUUUCUUAAACCCCUUGUUUCGAAUAUUGAUUAGUAAACUCUUAGUGUUGCAAAGAACGAUGCUCAAUCAUGAAGAUAGAGGAGUGAAAAAAAAUUAUAUCAGAACCCAAGCAAGGUAGCAACAUGACAGCACAUUUCUCGCUACAAUAAACAUCAAUUUGAAAUUACUUAGCAACUUUCAAUGUUCAACAUGCAAGAUUCCACAUACAUUACAACCACAUACUAUAUUCACAAACCUUCUAUUACACAUGUACAUAUAUAUAUAUAUGUAAACAUGAAUACCACCACCUCACUCAGCCAACGUGCACUCCCUACAUGCACAUCAUAGUCGGCAUGUGCACUGCCCACUCCGCACAUGCACGGUUGUAAUUGUCACAACGUUGUCAUUCAAUUGGCAUAUGCACUGCCCACUCCGCACAUGCAUGGUCAUAAUAGUCACAACAUUGUCAUUCAACCGACAUGUGUACUGCCCACUCCGCACAUGCACGGUUACAUCAAUUACACAAAAUUACUUAACAAUACACAUCAUAUAUUACUAUUUUUUUUAUAUAUACAUAUCAGUAUCAUAUAAAGGUACAUAGAUUCAUCACAAUCAUGUUCCACAUCACAAAAACAUUUCACUAAGGGCUUGUUCCCAUGCAUUUUUAUAGAAAAACAAUUAAAAUAUCUCAAUCAACCACAUGUGCCUUACUCCCAAAACAUUUUAUGCAAGUUCACUCACCUUACGAUAGCAAGAUAUUACAUCGUUAUUUGAUAAGAGGUGUCCUUGAUUAUUUUCACUGGCCAGUUGCUCGAUGUUUACUCCGACACGCCACCACAAUACUCUAACCUUAUCUUUGCACUUCCUAACAAUAAUACGAACUCAAUAUAUUUAAUUAUAUACGUAUACGGGCAACACUUUAAUCAAUUAAUCGUUACUCAAAUUUAUAUUUUUCAUCCUAUCAUGAAACUAUCUUUAAUUAACUCACAUCUUAAUACAUUUUUGCUAAAAUUACUUAUAUCCAUUGCUUACGUAAUUCCUUAAAUUAUAUCACCGGUAACUUAAUUAUGAUGUCAUGUGUCUACUUCAACCCUUCUAAAUAAUUUCCACACAUAAUCCACAUAUAUGGCAGCAAUAAUCAUUCUCACUUUCACUCGAUUAUUUCCUAGUUUACAUGCAUCGUUAUCUAUCUAACUUUCAAUACUUUGUUUCUCAAUCCUCUAUCCACAAUAUUCCUUUUUCAUUUCUUUCAAACAACAUGCCAUACAAUCUUAAUAAUUUUCAACUAGCUUAGGUAAAUAGAUCAUUUCAACAACCAUAAUUCCUUACAAUAUUCAACUAACCGUAGGCUUUAAAACAUAGUGUUCAGCUUACCGUUUUCCUUUUUUACUUUGAGUCUUUCAUGUACCCACAAGUUUAUUGGCUUAUAUGUUACCAAAUUUUCUCCAAUCAAGCCAAUCUUUGCUGCCACAAGACAUUUCUCUAAGUCACUAACUCAUUUUCAAAGACUACUCAAACCAAAAACAAAAAUCCUAACCUUUCCUUGCUUGAAUCACCAAAACCAAGCUUUUUCUUCCUUUCUCUCUUUUUCUUUCUUCUUCUCCUAGGGUUUAGAUGUGCUGGAAAUUGGGAUUAAAAGCUUCAGGUUUAGUGCCCAAGAAGUUUGGAGAAGAAAGAAUUAAGAAAAGAAGGGAAAUGAGAAGAAACAAGGAAAAUCACAUGAAAAAAUAUUGAUUUUCAUGAACUUGACAUGAAAAUGGCAUUGGAAGCUUCAAGAAGGAGAAGAAAAUGUCUUGCU